rnacentral:pre_miRNA from 1 species
UACGCACUUCCUCCUUCUGAAAAUACUUGUCGGAGAAAUGAAUGUAUCUAGAUGUAUUUUAAUUUUAGAUACAUCCAUUUUCAUUCAUUUAUGCGACAGAUAAUUCCGGACGGAAUGAGUAUAUU